AUUGAACGCUGGCGGCAGGCUUAAUACAUGCAAGUCGAGGGGUAGCAAGAUUGUAGCAAUACAAUUGUUGACGACCGGCAAACGGGUGCGGAACACGUACACAACCUUCCUACAAGUGGGGAAUAGCCCAGAGAAAUUUGGAUUAAUACCCCGUAACAUAGCGAUGUGGCAUCACAUUGCUAUUAUAGCCUCGGCGCUUGUUGAUGGGUGUGCGGCUGAUUAGAUAGUUGGCGGGGUAACGGCCCACCAAGUCUACGAUCAGUAGCUGAUGUGAGAGCAUGAUCAGCCAAACGGGCACUGAGACACGGGCCCGACUCCUACGGGAGGCAGCAGUAAGGAAUAUUGGACAAUGGACGCAAGUCUGAUCCAGCCAUGCCGCGCGAAGGAUUAAGGUCCUCUGGAUUGUAAACUUCUUUUAUAAGGGACGAAAAAAGGUCUUUCUAGAUCGUCUGACGGUACCUUAUGAAUAAGCACCGGCUAACUCCGUGCCAGCCGCCGCCGUAACAC
rnacentral:rRNA from 1 species